UACGAAGGGGCUAGCGUUGCUCGGAAUCACUGGCGUAAGCGCACGUAGGCGGAUUGCUAAGUCAGGGUGAAAUCCUGGAGCUCAACUCCAGAACUGCCUUGAUACUGGCGGUCUCGAGUCCGGGAGAGGUGAGUGGAACUGCGAAGUGUAGAGGUGAAAUUCGUAGAUAUUCGCAAGAACACCAGUGGCGAAGGCGGCUCACUGGCCGGUACUGACGCUGAGGUGCGAAAGCGUGGGAGCAAACAGG
rnacentral:rRNA from 1 species